UACGUAGGGCGCAAGCGUUGUCCGGAAUUAUUGGGCGUAAAGGGCUCGUAGGCGGCCAACUAAGUCAGACGUGAAAUCCCUCGGCUUAACCGGGGAACUGCGUCUGAUACUGGAUGGCUAGAGUUUGGGAGAGGGAUGCGGAAUUCCAGGUGUAGCGGUGAAAUGCGUAGAUAUCUGGAGGAACACCGGUGGCGAAGGCGGCAUCCUGGACCAACACUGACGCUGAGGAGCGAAAGCCAGGGGAGCAAACGGG
rnacentral:rRNA from 1 species